rnacentral:tRNA from 1 species
GAUGUGGCUCAGUGGGUAGAGCUCUUACCUAGCACACAGGAAGCCCUGGGUUUAAUCCCCAGUAUC